GACUUCUGACCAGUACCUUUCCUUUUAUCAGUCUUCCUAGAUGCACACACCUCUCACUUCCCGACUCUCCCUGGCUCCUGCUUGUUGCUUCCUUACUGCUGGUGCUUGGAUCUGUUCCAUCAAUGCUGCAAUUUCAGACCUGCUGAGGAGGUUUGCAUUAACUUCAGAAUCAAGAAAGCAAAGAGUUCCAGGUCCAGUGUUUAUAAGAUGCACUGUCACAUCUGAAAAAACUUUGAGGCUCAGAGUCUCUCAGCAGUAGGAGUACCAAGAUCCUUUGCAAGUUCAGUAUCUGGAGUAACUUUCAGCUGUAUCUUGAUAGUUGACAACUAACCUGUAUGUCCUAGAAAUACACUCUGGAUUUUUAAGAUCUCACCUCUGCUCCCUCUGUAUUGAGUUCCAGGAACAAAUAACAAAAGUGACCUGGCCAGAGAUCAGUAUGCUUCAUGACACAGAAACUAGUUUUUGACACAUGCAAACAAACACUAAAAAAGAAGAAAAAAACAAAA